rnacentral:tRNA from 1 species
GGGGUCAUAGCUCAGCUGGUAGAGCACCUGCAUGGCAUGCAGGGGGUCAGGAGUUCGAGUCUCCUUGACUCCA